UCAGGUGACUAUAGCGUCAGGGUUCCACCUCUUCCCAUUCCGAACAGAGAAGUUAAGCCUGACAGCGCCGAUGGUACUGCGAAAGCGGGAGAGUAGGUCGUCGCCGACU
rnacentral:rRNA from 1 species